UUGGGCCCCAAGGCACAGCGGCCCUGCUUCUUCCGCUCUCUGCUCAGUGCUGAGUCUGCUCCGUCCGUCUCCGUGCCGUGUGCUGGCGGUGGCGGUCCAGGCCCCGCUCGCUCCUACCAGUGGCCCGUGCGUGCGGCCGCCGGCGCCCUGAUCGAUCGACCCGCGCCUCGGCCGGAUGGAGGCGUCAGUAGCAGCAGCAGGAGGUGGGGGAGGCAGCGCCGCCACGCGGAGCAGCCCGGCGGCCGUGCAGGCCACCAACGACGACGCCGCGGCCAGCAAGCUGUCCUGUGUUAA
rnacentral:misc_RNA from 1 species